rnacentral:rRNA from 1 species
UUUUUUAUGGAGAGUUUGAUCCUGGCUCAGGAUGAACGCUGGCGGCGUGCCUAAUACAUGCAAGUCGAGCGAACAGACGAGGAGC